UGUCUUUUUUUCAUAAUUUCAUUACGUACACGGCUCUGGUACAGGGGAUAGCAACCGUUGUAUUGUUUAUGGUUGCUAUAGUGAUUUGAAAUGACUUCGCAUACUGCACACAGUUAUGGUAGGUCCCACUGCCACUUCACAACUAUGUUCAGUUCGUUGAGAGCUAGUUUCUUGUUAGAAAUUGACUCUAUUAUAAAUGUAACUUCGUUUUUUAAGUGUAUAACAUGUCCUGUUCAAGUUACAUCAUAAAGUUAACACCAUGGGCAGUCUGGUUUACUGCCGUUAGCAUUAUGCUAACGGUUAGCGUUAUGUUAACGGUUAGCGUUAUGCUAACGGGUUAACAACAAGAAUCAUGUGCCAUCCAGUAGAUUGGAAGCAGCUGAGAGAGGAGAACCGCAGGCUGCAACAGGAGAAUUGUUCACUGAAACUAAAAAUAACACUGAAAUGUAAUGCUAUUAUUAUUCAAUAAAUGAUCACCAGUUUAAA